rnacentral:rRNA from 1 species
GACGAACGCUGGCGGCGUGCUUAACACAUGCAAGUCGAACGGUAAAGGCGGGAGUUUGUUCCCUCCGGGUCUGUGGCACGCGGGUGAGAAACACGUGUGAAAUCCCCCCCAAUUUCUGGUAUAAUCGUUGAAAAGGAGCUCAAACCCCGUAUACGCCCCGGCAGCGCAUCCUCUCUCGGUGGAAAGCACUUCGGUUGGGGAUGCGCUCGCGGCCUAUCAGUUUGUUGGUGGGGUAACGGCUCACCAAGGCGACGACGGGUAGCCGGCCUGAGAGGGUGACCGGCCACACUGGGACUGAGACACGGCCCAGACUCCUACGGGAGGCAGCAGUGGGGAAUAUUGCACAAUGGGCGCAAGCCUGAUGCAGCAACGCCGCGUGAGGGACGACGGCCUUCGGGUUGUAAACCUCUUUUAGCAGGGAAGAAGCGAAAGUGACGGUACCUGCAGAAAAAGCACCGGCUAACUACGUG